CCCGCGGUAGCUCAGCCUGGUAGAGCUUCCGGCUGUAGACCGGAGUGUCGCAGGCUCAAAUCCUGCCCGCGGGACCA
rnacentral:tRNA from 1 species